UACAGAGGAUGCAAGCGUUAUCCGGAAUGAUUGGGCGUAAAGCGUCUGUAGGUGGCUUUUUUAAGUCCGCCGUCAAAUCCCAGGGCUCAACUCUGGACAGGCGGUGGAAACUACCAAGCUUGAGUACGGUAGGGGCAGAGGGAAUUUCCGGUGGAGCGGUGAAAUGCGUAGAGAUCGGAAAAGAACACCAACGGCGAAAGCACUCUGCUGGGGCCACACUGACACUGAGA
rnacentral:rRNA from 1 species